UGCAUCGGCCGGGAAUCGAACUUGGGCGUGGCAGGCGAGCAUUCUACCACUGAACCACCGAUGG
rnacentral:tRNA from 1 species